CCGUGGUGUUUCGUCAAUAUGCAACUCAUUGCAUAUUGAGCUCCAAUUAACUUGUUGUUUUGCUUGUGCACUUUGCCAUGUCAUGCCCUCUUUAAACCGGACAUGCAUCAUAAUUGUUUGCGCAUCAUGCCAUGUUGUGUGAUGGUUGUUUACUAUGUUGUUUGCUUCUUUCUGGGUUGCUUCUCGCGUUAGCUUCGGUUUCGUUCCAGGGUUGUGAGGAUCCGUUCGACUUCGUCCGUUUGUCUUCUUCAUGGACUCGUUCUUCUUCCUUGCGGGAUCUCAGGCAAGAUGACCAUACCCUCGAAAUCACUUCUAUCUUUGCUUGCUAGAUGCUCGCUCUUUUGCUAUGCCUAUGCUGCGAUACCUACCACUUGCUUAUCAUGCCUCCCAUAUUGUUAAGCCAAGCCUCUAACCCACCUUGUCUUAGCAAACCAUUGUUUGGCUAUGUUACCGCUUUACUCAGCCCCUCUUAUAGCGUUGUUAGUUGCAGGUGAAGAUUGGAGCUUGUUCCAUGUUGGAACAUGGAUAUUUUGUUGGGAUAUCACAAUAUCUCUUAUUUAAUUAAUGCAUCUAUAUACUUGGUAAAGGGUGGAAGGCUCGGCCUUAUGCCUGAUGUUUUGUUCCACUCUUGCCACCCUAGUUUCCGUCAUAUCAGUGUUAUGUUCCCGGAUUUUGCAUUCCUUAUGCGGUUGGGUUAUAAUGGGAACCCCUUGACAGUUCGCCUUGAAUAAAACUCCUCCAGCAAGGCCCAACAUUGGUUUUACCAUUCGCAACCUAGCCUUUUCUUUCCCUUGGUUUCUGCAGACUCAAGGGUCAUCUUUAUUUAAACCCCCGGGCCAGUGCUCCUCUGAGUGUUGGUCCAACCUGUCAGCUGUCGGUGGCCACCAGGGGCAACUCUGGGCUGGCCUACCGGAACCUUGGACAAUCCGGUGUGCCCUGAGAAAGAGAUAUGUGCAGCUCCUAUCGGGAUUUGUCGGCACAUUCGGGUGGCUUUGCUGGUCUUGUUUUACCAUUGUCGAAAUGUCUUGUAACAGGGAUUCCGAGUCUGAUCGGGUCUUCCCGCUAGAAGGAUAUCCUUCGUUGAUCGUGAGAGCUUGUGAUGGGCUAAGUUGGGACACCCCUGCAGGGAUUUGAACUUCCGAAAGCCGUGCACGCGGUUAUGGGCAAAUGGGAAUUUGUUAAUGUCCAGUUGUAGAAAACCUGAAGUUGACCUUAAUUAAAAUGCACCAACCGCGUGUGUUACCGUGAUGGUCUCUUCUCGGCGGGGUCCGGGAAGUGAACACGGUGUUGGAGUUAUGCUUGACGUAGGUUGUUCUAGGAUCACUUCUUGAUCAUAGUUUCACGAUCGUGCUUUGCCUUCUCUUCUCACUCUCAUUUGCGUAUGUUAGCCACCAUAUAUGCUAGUCGCUUGCUGCAGCUCCACCCCAUACAUUUACCUUACCCAUAAGCUUAAAUAGUCUUGAUCGCGAGGGUGCGAGAUUGCUGAGUCCCCGUGACUCACAGAUACUUCCAAAACCAGCUUGCAGGUGCCGAUGAGUCCGUGCAGAUGACGCAACCAAGCUCAGGAGGAGCUCAACGAAGAUCAUAUCAUUUGUGUUGUUUCAUUCUAGUUGAUCAGUAGUGGAGCCCAGUUGGGGUCGAUCGGGGAUCUGUGUAGCAUUUGGGGUAGUCUUCUUUUAUUUUGGCUCCGUAGUCGGGCCCUGAUUGUAUCUAGUUGAUGUAAUGCUUGAUUCAUGUAUUUGUGUGAAGUGGCGAUUGUAAGCCAACUAUGUAUCUCUUUCCCUUAUGUAUUACAUGGGUUGUGUGAAGAUUACC
rnacentral:lncRNA from 1 species